AUUGAACGCUGGCGGCAGGCUUAACACAUGCAAGUCGAGCGAGCGGCGGACGGGUGAGUAAUGUCUGGGAAACUGCCUGAUGGAGGGGGAUAACUACUGGAAACGGUAGCUAAUACCGCAUACUAUUGGAUCGGCCGAUAUCGGAUUAGCUAGUUGGUGGGGUAAAGGCUCACCAAGGCGACGAUCCCUAGCUGGUUUGAGAGGACGACCAGCCAAACUGGGACUGAGACACGGUCCAGACUCCUACGGGAGGCAGCAGUGGGGAAUAUUGGACAAUGGGGGAAACCCUGAUCCAGCCAUGCCGCGUGUAUGAUGAAGGCCUUCGGGUUGUAAAGUACUUUUGGCAGAGAGGCGGUAUCUGCAGAAGAAGCACCGGCUAACUACGUGCCAGCAGCCGCGGUAAUAC
rnacentral:rRNA from 1 species